rnacentral:rRNA from 1 species
GAUUCUGGCUCAGGAUGAACGCUAGCUACAGGCUUAACACAUGCAAGUCGAGGGGCAUCAUGGAGUUGCUUGCAAACUCUGAUGGCGACCGGCGCACGGGUGAGUAACGCGUAUCCAACCUUCCCUAUAGUAGAGGAUAGCCCGGCGAAAGUCGGAUUAAUACUCUAUGUUUUCCGUUGCAGACAUCUAAGAUGGAACAAAGGCUUGCCGCUAUAGGAUGGGGGAUGCGUCUGAUUAGGUAGUCGGCGGGGUAACGGCCCACCGAGCCAUCGAUCAGUAGGGGUUCUGAGAGGAAGGUCCCCCACAUUGGAACUGAGACACGGUCCAAACUCCUACGGGAGGCAGCAGUGAGGAAUAUUGGUCAAUGGGCGAGAGCCUGAACCAGCCAAGUAGCCGUGCAGGACGACGGCCCUAUGGGUUGUAAACUGCUUUUAUGCGGGGAUAAAGUUCACUACGUGUAGUGUUUUGUAGGUACCGCAUGAAUAAGGACCGGCUAAUUCCGUGCCAGCCGCCGC